GAUGAACGCUGGCGGCGUGCCUAAUACAUGCAAGUCGAGCGAACAGACGAGGAGCUUGCUCCUCUGACGUUAGCGGCGGACGGGUGAGUAACACGUGGAUAACCUACCUAUAAGACUGGGAUAACUUCGGGAAACCGGAGCUAAUACCGGAUAAUAUAUUGAACCGCAUGGUUCAAUAGUGAAAGACGGUUUUGCUGUCACUUAUAGAUGGAUCCGCGCCGCAUUAGCUAGUUGGUAAGGUAACGGCUUACCAAGGCAACGAUGCGUAGCCGACCUGAGAGGGUGAUCGGCCACACUGGAACUGAGACACGGUCCAGACUCCUACGGGAGGCAGCAGUAGGGAAUCUUCCGCAAUGGGCGAAAGCCUGACGGAGCAACGCCGCGUGAGUGAUGAAGGUCUUCGGAUCGUAAAACGCUGUUAUUAGGGAAGAACAAAUGUGUAAGUAACUAUGCACGUCUCGACGGUACCUAAUCAGAAAGCCACGGCUAACUACGU
rnacentral:rRNA from 1 species